rnacentral:lncRNA from 1 species
GGAUCUGGAUCCUCUCAUAACUUCCUUAUUUUCUCCAUUCUUCACAACACAUUCUUCCUUACAUUGAAGCCUUGAUCACAUAGCCGGCUUAUGCUGAUGAGAUUAGCAGUUAGUCCUUCUAUUGACAACACAUUAUUCAGUUCUGGAACUCCAGGACUGUCCAGCUUACCAACACCUUUGAUUUUUCCUUUAGCUCCAUCACCAAAGGUCACAUAACUGGUAGUAUGAGGUUGUCUAUCUGCCAAUAAGUUCUCCAUCCCAGUCAUAUGUCUU